rnacentral:rRNA from 1 species
AGCGAACGCUGGCGGCAGGCUUAACACAUGCAAGUCGAGCGGGCACCUUCGGGUGUCAGCGGCAGACGGGUGAGUAACACGUGGGAACGUACCCUUCGGUUCGGAAUAACGCUGGGAAACUAGCGCUAAUACCGGAUACGCCCUUAUGGGGAAAGGUUUACUGCCGCAGGAUCGGCGCGCGUCUGAUUAGCUUGUUGGUGGGGUAACGGCCUACCAAGGCGACGAUCAGUAGAUGGGCAGAGAGGAUGAUCAGCCACACUGAGACGGAGACACGGCCGAGACUCCUACGGGAGGCGGCAAAGGGGAAUAUUGGACAAUGGGCGCAAGCCUGAUCCAGCCAGGCCGCGUGAGUGAUGAAGGCCGUAGGGUUGUAAAGCUCUUUUGUCCGGGACGAUAAUGACGGUACCGGAAGAAUAAGCCCCGGCUAACUUCGUG